rnacentral:rRNA from 1 species
ACGGGAGGCAGCAGUGGGGGAUAUUGCACAAUGGAGGAAACUCUGAUGCAGCAACGCCGCGUGAGGGAAGAAGGUCUUCGGAUUGUAAACCUAAGUUGUCAGGGACGAAUCAUGACGGUACCUGAAGAGAAAGCUCCGGCUAACUACGUGCCAGCAGCCGCGGUAAUACGUAGGGAGCGAGCGUUGUCCGGAUUUACUGGGGGUAAAGGGUGCGUAGGCGGGUCUGCAAGUCAGGCGUGAAAUCCCACGGCUUAACUGUGGGGCUGCGCUUGAAACUGUAGAUCUUGAGUGAAGUAGAGGCAAGCGGAAUUCCUAGUGUAGCGGUGAAAUGCGUAGAUAUUAGGAGGAACAUCAGUGGCGAAGGCGGCUUUCUGGACGGUAACUGACGCUGAGGCGCGAAAGCGUGGGUAGCAAACAGGAUUAGAUACCCUGGUA